rnacentral:rRNA from 1 species
CCUGCCCAAGAGACUGGGAUAANACCUGGAAACAGAUGCUAAUACCGGAUAACAACACUAGACGCAUGUCUAGAGUUUAAAAGAUGGUUCUGCUAUCACUCUUGGAUGGACCUGCGGUGCAUUAGCUAGUUGGUAAGGCAACGGCUUACCAAGGCAAUGAUGCAUAGCCGAGUUGAGAGACUGAUCGGCCACAUUGGGACUGAGACACGGGCCCAAACUCCUACGGGAGGCAGCAGCG